UUAGUAAGGAGGCUAGUGAGGAGCGUCAGCUUGCACUGGGAGAAUUUUUAUUCGGAGGCUGUUUACAUGGAAAAUGUCAGGCUCAGGAAAUUAUGGCAUCUUUACAACAGAGUAAUCUACCCCCAAGUCAGCUGUUGAACUUACUUAUGAUGCACUGGCUUUCUGUUGGAAGAAGAUCUCUGAACAUGCUUGUUGGUCUCUAUGAACUUGUGAAAAGUAUCACUGCUC
rnacentral:sRNA from 1 species